rnacentral:tRNA from 1 species
AUGGCCGAGCAGGCCUUAGAUUUUUAAUCUAAUAACGGGUUAACCCU